CCUACGGGAUGCUGCAGUGAGGAAUAUUGGUCAAUGGACGCAAGUCUGAACCAGCCAUGCCGCGUGCAGGAAGACGGCUCUAUGAGUUGUAAACUGCUUUUGUACGAGGGUAAACGCAGAUACGCGUAUCUGUCUGAAAGUAUCGUACGAAUAAGGAUCGGCUAACUCCGUGCCAGCAGCCGCGGUAAUACGGAGGAUUCAAGCGUUAUCCGGAUUUAAUGGGUUUAAAGGGUGCGUAGGCGGUCGGAUAAGUUAGAGGUGAAAUCCCGAGGCUCAACUUCGGAAUUGCCUCUGAUACUGUUCGGCUAGAGAGUAGUUGCGGUAGGCGGAAUGUAUGGUGUAGCGGUGAAAUGCUUAGAGAUCAUACAGAACACCGAUUGCGAAGGCAGCUUACCAAGCUACUUCUGACGUUGAGGCACGAAAGCGUGGGGAGCAAACAGGAUUAGAUACCCGGGUAGUC
rnacentral:rRNA from 1 species